AGAUUUUUUUUAAGUAUGCCUGGAACAAUGAUUCUCAUUGGAAUCUGAACAAAAUGAGUGAGAAAGUCACUUCUGUGAACUGAAGUCC
ensembl:snoRNA SNORD116 Small nucleolar RNA SNORD116